ACCGUAUCUAGCUCGACGGGGCGAAAAGUGGGAAACCUUACCUAUCUGAUGCGGUAUUCUUUAAGG
rnacentral:sRNA from 18 species